rnacentral:rRNA from 1 species
UACGUAGGGUGCGAGUGUUAAUCGGAAUUACUGGGCGUAAAGCGUGCGCAGGCGGCUUUGCAAGACAGAUGUGAAAUCCCCGGGCUUAACCUGGGAACUGCAUUUGUGACUGCAAGGCUGGAGUGCGGCAGAGGGGGAUGGAAUUCCGCGUGUAGCAGUGAAAUGCGUAGAUAUGCGGAGGAACACCGAUGGCGAAGGCAAUCCCCUGGGCCUGCACUGACGCUCAUGCACGAAAGCGUGGGGAGCAAACAGG